GCCCGGCUAGCUCAGUCAGUAGAGCAUGCGACUCUUAAUCUCAGGGUCGUGGGAUCGAGCCCCACAUUGGGCG
rnacentral:tRNA from 1 species